rnacentral:rRNA from 1 species
AUUGAACGCUGGCGGCAGGCCUAACACAUGCAAGUCGAGCGGAUGAAGGGAGCUUGCUCCUGGAUUCAGCGGCGGACGGGUGAGUAAUGCCUAGGAAUCUGCCUGGUAGUGGGGGAUAACGUCCGGAAACGGGCGCUAAUACCGCAUACGUCCUGAGGGAGAAAGUGGGGGAUCUUCGGACCUCACGCUAUCAGAUGAGCCUAGGUCGGAUUAGCUAGUUGGUGGGGUAAAGGCCUACCAAGGCGACGAUCCGUAACUGGUCUGAGAGGAUGAUCAGUCACACUGGAACUGAGACACGGUCCAGACUCCUAAGGGAGGCAGCAGUGGGGAAUAUUGGACAAUGGGCGAAAGCCUGAUCCAGCCAUGCCGCGUGUGUGAAGAAGGUCUUCGGAUUGUAAAGCACUUUAAGUUGGGAGGAAGGGCAGUAAGUUAAUACCUUGCUGUUGUGACGUUACCAACAGAAUAAGCACCGGCUAACUUCGUG